GACGGGGUUUCACCGUGUUAGCCAGCAUGGAUUGUCAUUAAUUUGUAAUGCUCCUUGCGUGUUCAACUUUGUAUUUUCAGUAAUUUUAUUUUAUCUGAAAAAUAUCAUUUUCAAUUUCUGUUUAUGAAGGUCUACUACUCUUUGGAAACACAUUGAAGACAUGAUUCCCAUUAAUCCAUUGAAUUCCUGCUUCCAUGUUUUCUGUUAAAAUCAGGUUGUAUUUAGAAUACAGUUCUUUUCAACAUACUCUAUCUUCUACCUCUAGCUACUUUUCAGAUUUUCUAUUGGUCUUUUGCGUCCUGUAUUAUUUUAUGUUAAUUUGGUUUUAGUUAUCAUGCCUGAAGUUUGAGAUUACUAAAAAUAUAUGGAGGCAUACAUUUUAUCACUUUUGGAAAACUCCUUGCAACAUUUUGUUGCUCUAUUUUCUCC
rnacentral:lncRNA from 10 species